AAUGUUUAGGGCAUCAAGUUAGGAACUAAUUAUCAAUUGACACUUGCCAAUUGUAGAAGUUAUUGAAAGUACAAAAGUCGUUUGGGUUAAAUUUAAAAAUUUUGUCUGUGUGGUUUUCUUAAAAUUAUAUGUUUUGUCCAACCGUAUUUUUUUAGAUCUGGCAACCAAACCCUCUUCUUCCCUUCCGUUUCAUUUUCCCUUCCGAGUUCAUCAUCCUCGUCCAUGAAAAACAAACCCAAAAAAAAAUAUACGAUUAUGAACAUUUAUAAAAUCAAAAUACUCUGAGGGAAAAGGUUGGCUCCCACCACCACCUUUUACCAAAUACAACCUCCAAAGGUAUGUGAACAUAGAGAUGUAGGGGAAGAUGGUUGAGUAUUUGUCGGUGCUGCAUAACACAGUGGUGGUUCCGACGACUGUGUUUGGUUGUCCGGUGUUUGUCUUCAAAGUGAUGCAGGGUGUAUAGAAAUAUCAAUCUGGAAUGGUUUUGGCUAGGUGUGAAACCGUUUCGUUUUAUUACUUUUUAUGAUUUUCGAAUCAAUGAAGGUUCCUAGACGGUGGAUUUCA